UCUCGCUCUCUGUGCCCCCAGGCGCCGGCUGGGCAAGGGGCUUGGUACCUGGGAACCCCCACUUGCUGCGAACUCCUAGAGGCCGUGAUGGGGGAGGGGGUCCGGCCGGGCUGGCGGCGUUGCUCCCGGGUCCCUGGCAGUGGCUGGCCUCCCACCGAAGACGAGCUGGCCGCAAGCCGGGCUGCAGGGAGCAGGCAAGCGCUUAACCCUGGCCGGCCGGGAGCCCCAGACACCACCUGCCUCCUCCUCCUCGACUGGGAGCUCCUCUUCGGACCGUUUCCUGAACUUUAAUGACGGGCAAUCGGCGCGAGUCUACAAAUUUCUAGUGGAGAAAGCUGCAUUUGACAAUAAAGCAGAGCUGCACCUGGGAAGCACAGAUGAAGGUCUCAGUGCCCCUUCAUUCUUGAAUUGGGAAAAGUUGGCAGAUCAAGGAAGCCAACUCUGCCAGGCUGCAAUCCCCAGUCACCAGCCAUAUGAAACACCUGCAGGACUCACGCCACUGACGAAACACAGAGCCACCUGCCUAGCCCGUGAUGGUCAAGAAUAUAAACCGCCAGCAUUGCUGCCAAGAUGCCUCAAGGGAAAAUACCAGCAACCAGUGCACUCCCAGUCCAACCUGAGCAACCAGUAAGGGCGGCUGCUGGUGCUGAAUGUGGGCGGAAACAAGGGACCCGAUGACAUCUAGUUGGAAACGUGUAUCACACCACUGUCUUCUUUGAGCUCCUGUUGAUCUCUUUUUCCACAAGGUUUUUGUCUUGUUUAAUGUCUAAUCUAGCCUGGGGUUCCUAGGGACAUUUACCUAGAUGAGAAAAGGCCAGUGGCUCAAAUUUUUAAAUGUUUAAUACUCAUUUGAAAUAAGAAAUCAGGUUUGAAAAUAUUUCGUAACCGGGGUGUAUUCCUGCUGGUGACUUUCCACAUGCUACGUGUUGUUUAUCAGUUAUGAUUAGUAUCGAUACUGCUAGUAAUGACAUUUUAGCAAAAGCGCUAAGGAUAUGUAGAAAAGGAGUCGAAACCCAGAUAAAAGCAGCUGCUGGUUCAACAAUUACCCAGAAAAGAGAAGGAGGGCUGACAUACUAAAAUGAAAAUCGUACAUGGCUGGCCACUAAGUCAGAAAUUCGGCUGUUUGCUUUUCUCCCCACAGCAAAUGUUUUUUAUCUCUUUCAAACUUUUUAUUUAUUGAUUUGCUUAGAGACAGGAUCUUAUUUUGUCACCCAGGUGAGGUGGUACAGUGGCACAAUUAUAACUCACUGUGACCUUGAACUCCUGCACUCAAGCGAUGAUCCCACCUCAGCCUCCCAAAAUGCCAGCGUUACAGGAGUGAGCAACGGCUUCCGGCCUCUUUCCUCUCUUUAAAAGGCAACGAAGCAUUUGGAUAAAAUAUAUCAGUAAUAUUUAUAAAUUAUUCUGAACCUCCAUUACAUUCUGAUGUCUUAAUCACUUCAACAUUACUAUUUCUGGUUUGAUAUCUGUGGUAGGCUAAAAAAACAGCUGCUCUGGCCGGAUCUCUGUCACAGCCCAACCCUCAGUGGAGUGACAGGGUUACCGUCUGCGUCAGAUCCCUAGAAUCUGUUAAAGUUUCCUUAUUUGGAAAAAGGUCUUUGCAGCUAGAAUUAAGAAGCUUAAGAUGAGAA
rnacentral:lncRNA from 13 species